AGCGGGUGAAAACCCCGCUCGCCGAAUGUCUAAGGUUUCCAUGGCUAUGUCAGUCAACCAUGGGUUAGUCGGUCCUAAGUAGAGGCUGAAAAGCGUAUGCGAUGGACAACAGGUUAAUAUUCCUGUACUACUGAUAUCAGAAAUGAAGAUAGAGAAUUGAAAAUGCAAGCCCCUUAUUGGUUUGGGGUGUAAACAACAAGAGAGUCUUUUUAGGUAAGUCCGGAAAGGCGUUUCUACUCCGGUAGAUGGACACAAGUUGUGAUGCAAAGGGGACCCUUGUGGAAUCCGAUUUGUUAGAUUAAUUCUCCAGGAAAAACUUCUAUCUGUAAGUGUUUACACUUACGAAUGAUAUCUGUAACCGUACUGCAAUCCGACACUGGUGGACUGGUGUAAAUGCACCAAGGCGUACGAGUGAUGCGUCGUUAAGGAACUCGGCAAAUUGACCCCGUAAGUUCGCGAGAAGGGGGACUUUCCGUCAUGAGUAAUUUUUAUUUGUGGCGAUGAAAGUAGCAUAGAAUAGGAAAGAACGACUAGUUACCAAAACUACAGGCGCUUGCAAAUUCGUAAGAAUAUGUAUAAGUGCUGACGCCUGCCCAAUGCCAGAAGGUUAAAGUUGUUGGUUAAUCUCUUCGGAGGUGAAGCUGAUAGCUGAAGCCCUGGUCAAUGGCGGCUGUAACUAUGGAACCUAGUGAAAACUAGGAAUUGUAGUUGUAAAAUUUGGCUAAAUGCUGGAACAUCUGAGUAUCUCUAAUUACUAAUUGCAAACUUUUUGUAAGUUGCAGGAGUUAAAAUAUUAGAGUGCAGACAAUCAGCAGGAAAGACCCUAGUUCUAUAAGAGUUUUUGACAAUAAAAUUGCUUUUUAUAUUGUUGGAUUUGUAGAUGGAGAAGGAAGUUUUAAUAUUUCUUUCAAGAUUAGAGAAGAUUACAAACAUAAAGUACAAGUCUAUCCUAGUUUCAAUAUUUCCCAAAAGGAAAGAAGAAUACUAGAAUGGAUCAAACAUUAUCUUGGGUGCGGUACAAUCCGUAAUAGAGGUGAUGGUGUGUACUAUUAUGAAGUUCAUAAUCUCAAAGAUCUUGUUGAGAAAAUAAUACCUUUCUUUAACAGAUACAAACUAAGAACAAGAAAACAGAGCAGUUUUCGAAUCUUUUCCAAAAUAGUUUUGUACAUAUAUCGAAAAAAGAAUCUUUCUUUUCAUGAUAUUAAGAAGAUUUCCCUUCUUAGAGACAAGAUUAAAGUAGGAAGGAAGAGGAAAUAUUCUGUCGAAGACUUGGAAAGAGCUUGGGAAUCCUCAGAGACUAUAUGCCAAACAAGAUAAUAUCUUGAUGAUAUAGUCCGACCUGCAUAGCGAUAUGCAGAUAUAUGUAGAAAUACAUAUACGCUUUAAGAAUUUCUUAAAGUCGUAACAUAUGUGAACGGUCCUAAGGUAGCGUAAUACCUCGUCACUUAAUUAGUGACUUGCAUGAAAGGCGUAACGAUUCUUUCGCUGUCUCGACGGCGCGCUCGGUGAAAUUGAAAUGGCUGUGAAGAUGCGGCCUACCUAUACCAGGACAAAAAGACCCCGUGGAGCUUUACUGCAACUUUGCAUUGAAAUAGGGCUGUGGAUGUAGAGAAUAGGUGGGAGACUUUGAAAUCCUCUCGUCAGGGAGGGUGGAGUCGUCAGUGUAAUACCACUCUUUUGGAGUUUUAUUUCUAACAACUUCCUUUAUCAGGUUGUUGAACAGUGUAUGGUGGGCAGUUUGACUGGGGCGGUUGCUUGCUAAAGAGUACCGCAAGCGCACUAAGGUCUCCUCAACCCGGAUGGAAAUCGGGUGAAGAGUGCAUAAGCAUAAGGAGGCUUUACUGUGAGGGAGACAUCCCGAUCAGUUACGAAAGUAGGUUUAAGUGACCCUUUGGUUGCGCGUGGAAGCGCCAUUGUUUAACGGAGAUAAGCUACCCCGGGGAUAACAGGCUAGUCUUGCCCGAUAGUUCAUAUUGACGGCAAGGUUCGGCACCUCGAUGUCGGCUCGUCGCAUCCUGGGGGUGAAUAAGCCCCCAAGGGUUGGACUGUUCGUCCAUUAAAGCGGCACGUGAGCUGGGUUCAGACCGUCGUGAGCCAGGUCGGUCUCUAUCCGGUAUAGGCGUUGUAUAUUUGAAGGAAGCGGCCCUUAGUACGAAAGGAUCAGGGCGUGGUAAUCUCUGGUGUAUCAGCUGUACUACCAAGUGCAUUGCUGAGUAGCUAAAUUGCUAUUUUGAUAAGUACUGAAAGCAUAUAAGUACGAAGCUAGUCCUAAGAUUAAAUAUACUUGUGCAGUUUACUGCAUGAAAGAUCCGUGGUAGACCACCACGUUGAUAGGCUCCAGGUGUAAGCGCAGCGAUGCGUUCAGCCGAGGAGUACUAAUAGAUUGAAAGCUUUUUUU
rnacentral:rRNA from 1 species